CCUACGGGAGGCAGCAGUGGGGAAUUUUGGACAAUGGGGGAAACCCUGAUCCAGCCAUUCCGCGUGAGUGAAGAAGGCCUUCGGGUUGUAAAGCUCUUUCGGCAGGAACGAAACGGCGGACUCUAACAUAGUCUGUCAAUGACGGUACCUGAAGAAGAAGCACCGGCUAACUACGUGCCAGCAGCCGCGGUAAUACGUAGGGGGCGAGCGUUAAUCGGAAUUACUGGGCGUAAAGCGUGCGCAGGCGGCUUUGUAAGACGGAGGUGAAAUCCCUGGGCUAAACCGAGGAACUGCGUUCGUGACUGCAAAGCUAGAGUGCGGGAGAGGGGGGUGGAAUUCCUGGUGUAGCGGUGAAAUGCGUAGAGAUCAGGAGGAACACCGAUGGCGAAGGCGGCCCCCUGGGUUGACACUGACGCUGAGGCACGAAAGCGUGGGGAGCAAACGGGAUUAGAUCCCCCUGUAGU
rnacentral:rRNA from 1 species